rnacentral:rRNA from 1 species
AAAUGAAUAGACGGGGGCCCGCACAAGCGGUGGAGCAUGUGGUUUAAUUCGACGCAACGCGCAGAACCUUACCCAGACUUGACUUCCUUCGAAUCCGGCCCAAAAGCUGGAGUGCCCGCAAGGGAACGGAGAGACAGGUGCUGCAUGGCUGUCGUCAGCUCGUGUCGUGAGAUGUUGGGUUAAGUCCCGCAACGAGCGCAACCCUCGCCUUUAGUUGCUCCGCAAGGAGAUCUCUAGAGGGACCGCCAGUGAUAAGCUGGAGGAAGGUGGGGAUGACGUCAAGUCCUCAUGGCCUUUAUGUCUGGGGCUACACACGUGCUACAAUGGCCGGUACAAAGCGUUGCCAACUCGCGAGAGGGAGCCAAUCGCAUAAAACCGGUCUCAGUUCGGAUUGUAGUCUGCAACUCGGCUACAUGAAGUCGGAAUCGCUAGUAAUCGCAGAUCAGCACGCUGCGGUGAAUACGUUCCCGGGCCUUGUACACACCGCCCGU